UACGAAGGGGGCUAGCGUUGCUCGGAAUCACUGGGCGUAAAGGGCGCGUAGGCGGACUUUUAAGUCGGAGGUGAAAGCCCAGGGCUCAACCCUGGAAUUGCCUUCGAUACUGGGAGUCUUGAGUUCGGAAGAGGUUGGUGGAACUGCGAGUGUAGAGGUGAAAUUCGUAGAUAUUCGCAAGAACACCAGUGGCGAAGGCGGCCAACUGGUCCGAUACUGACGCUGAGACGCGAAAGCGUGGGGAGCGAACAGG
rnacentral:rRNA from 1 species